GGGGGUGAUCGGUUUCGACACCGACAUCUUGUCCAGUGGGAAGCGGGCCGAGGACGCACGGUCAUCUCGUACAACGCUCCGUGCAAACCAAUAGGUGCCGAUUCCAAGCGCACCGACUUCGCCCUCGCCGCCUGAGCGAGCCCGAAGUCCGUUGGCC
rnacentral:tmRNA from 18 species